rnacentral:rRNA from 1 species
AACGAACGCUGGCGGCAUGCCUAACACAUGCAAGUCGAACGAGACCUUCGGGUCUAGUGGCGCACGGGUGCGUAACGCGUGGGAACCUGCCCUUAGGUUCGGAAUAACUCCCCGAAAGGGGUGCUAAUACCGGAUAAUGUCUUCGGCCCAAAGAUUUAUCGCCUUUGGAUGGGCCCGCGUUGGAUUAGCUAGUUGGUAGGGUAAAAGCCUACCAAGGCGACGAUCCAUAGCUGGUCUGAGAGGAUGAUCAGCGACACUGGGACUGAGACACGGCCCAGACUCUUACGGGAAGCAGCAGUGGGGAAUAUUGGAAAGUGGGCGAAAGCCUGAUCGACCAAUGCCGGGUGAGUGAUGAAGGUCGUAGGGUUGUAAAGCUCUUUUACCCGGGAUGAUAAUGACAGUACCGGGAGAAUAAGCUCCGGCUAACUCCGUG